GGCCUUGAAAGUGUAAACAUGUCGGACUGCAAAUUCGAAGAAGCAGCUUCAAUUCUGCCGGGGCU
rnacentral:tRNA from 1 species